rnacentral:rRNA from 1 species
GAUUAACGCUGGCGGCGUGCCUAACACAUGCAAGUCGAGCGGCAGCGCGUUUUACACUGACUUCUGGAAGCUUCUAGUUGCAAGAGAAGAUUUAUUCAAGAAUUUUGUGUAAAAUGUCGGCGAGCGGCGGACGGCUGAGUAACGCGUGGGAACGUACCCCAAAGUGAGGGAUAACGCAUCGAAAGGUGUGCUAAUACCGCAUAUGGUCUUCGGAUUAAAGCCUUCGGGCGCUUUGGGAACGGCCUGCGUAAGAUUAGAUAGUUGGUGGGGUAAUGGCCUACCAAGUCGACGAUCUGUAACUGGUUUGAGAGGAUGAUCAGUCAGACUGGAACUGAGACACGGUCCAGACUCCUACGGGAGGCAGCAGUUAGGAAUCUUCCACAAUGGGCGAAAGCCUGAUGGAGCAACGCCGCGUGCAGGAUGAAGGCCUUCGGGUUGUAAACUGCUUUUAUAAGUGAGGAUUAUGACAGUAACUUAUGAAUAAGGAGCGGCUAACUACGUG